AAGACGUCUUUAUAUCAUCAGUAACAGUUACCGUGAGGCAUGUGUAAGUAGCCUACUGAAGUGGACCAAAGCAAAACAGAGCCCCAAAACAGUGCAGGGAAGAAAACUUUAGCCCAAGAUGUGGAUUCCAGCAAAUGUAAAACAAAGCACUUGCACA